AUGGCGGCGGAGGGAGAGGAUCCGCUGGGCUACUUCGCGGCCUACGGCAGCUCCAGCUCCGACUCGGAGGCCGACGAAGCCUCGGCCGAGGAGCGGCAGACAGGAGCCGGCGCAGCGGCGGGGAGCAGCCCGGGAAGCCGGCCGAAGCUGCCGCCGCCGGACGAGCUCUUCCGAAAGGUGUCCCAGCCGCCCGCCUUCCUAUACAACCCGCUCAACAAGCAGAUCGACUGGGAGAGCCGCGUCCUGCGGGCGCCCGAGGAGCCGCCCAAGGAGUUUAAGGCGUGGAAGACGAACGCCGUGCCGCCGCCGGAGGUGUACAGCCCGCCCGAGAAGAAGCCUCCGCCGGCCCCCGCCGUCGAUAUGGCCAUCAAGUGGUCCAACAUCUACGAGGACAACGGCGAUGACGCGCCGCGGCCCGCCGGCAGAGCCAGGUUCCUGCCGGAGGAGGAGGAGGAGCACGCGGUGUCAGAUGAUGAAAAAGAUGAUGAACCAGCUUAUGCUAAGAAACGGAAACUAGACUCCGGGGAGAAGACAAAGAGGAAGAAGAACUUGCAGAAAUAAGGCUGGCACCGGUAGGUCACCCAGUCCACCUGCCCCAUUUCCCAUGGGAGUCUGUGCUGGAAAACAGUGCUUCCCUGGAAGACAGCAAUGCAGUGAACGCCAUCACCUCUUUCAGUCAAGCUUCUGCUGAGGACUGCAAUGCUGCUGUACCUGGAGAAGUAGCCAGAACUGAGUGCAGUUGUCUUAAAAGAUGAAUUUCUCCCUGAGGACAUUUCGGCAAGGUGAAGAGAGAGAUUGAUCGUUUCCAGAUGCUCUUUGCUGGCAGGCAAAGAAAAACUAUUUCAGAGACCCUGAUGUCUAGAAGCAACAUCUGUGUCUCACUCUAAGCAGUUGUGCCACUGAGUGGUGGAAGCCAUGGGAUCAUGUCUAUCAGAAGCAAAGGAUGUGCCUCUUGGUAAGCAGUCUUUCACUUCCAGCUGUUAUACUUCUCAGGACAGCCAGUAUGACAACACAUCUGCUUGUGCACACUGAAUCAAAGCAAUCAGCUCUUGUAAGCCUGUCUCCAUUCUGACACUGGUCUUUAAACCACUUAAACUGGUUGUCAUGACUACUGAUAACGAUACUGAAGCUGUGUCCUGUAGCAGAAGUACAGCUUGCCCUGAUGAACGGGACAGAAGACCCUGUCUAGUCCUGGGGGCAGAGGCAGCACUGCACUUUGCAUCUAGAACUGGCAGCGGGAUGGACAGAAUUCUGCUCUCCGGUGACAGAACCCAGGACGCGGGCAGCAUCCCUGGCUGAGCCCUUCUAGGGCCAAAGAAACGCAUAGUGGGCCUGAGGUUUGGAGCUGGGAUGGCCCUACUUUGAGCAAGUAAGUCCUCUGUGGAACUCUGUCCUGGUACUUAUCCCAAAAGUGGUCAGCAACUCAGAUGUGACUUAGUAAGUGAGGAUAAGGAAGGAAAGAGAGAGAAAAGAGGGAAAGGUGAGAGUAUAGUUCUCUGAGAUUGUUUGGGUAGAGCAGGCGAAUACCUAAGGGCCCUCAUUACUGUGCAGAAAGGAAAAUGAGGUUUAGAGGACAGGUUUAGAGCACUGCUUCGCUUGCUGUGUUUCAGAAGACAAGCAGAGGGGGAAGGUGGCUCCAAGUCAGGUUUUAGAGUGUUCUCUGUGAGAGCAGGAUGUAGGUAGGAGGAAGCCAGAAGAAAUUGAACCUCAUCGUUUUUGUGAUUGAAGAAGAACCAGGUACUAUGCCAAAGAGAGCUUUGAAUCCAAACACAUGGUGCUAAUGGUUUUGAUGUGCUGAAGCUGUGGUUGGCCGCCUGUAGUGCUCCAGCGUGGCUGAAAUGCAUUGUCGGUGUGGGGGCAGAGUGUGCCUGUGUCUGUGUGUGUAGCCGACUUUCCCUUUCCAGGCCUGCAGGUUCUGACCUGCCAGCCACUGCCCAGACAGAGCCCUGCCGAUAUGGCAGCACGGCAGCUCAGGUGGGCUGCUGAUGUAGUGGGGUCUGAGCAGGAACCGUAGCCAUGAUGCCUGAUAGACAGCACACGUGGUUAGAAUGUGCUGGGUGGAGUCCUAUUCUGAAUGAUGCUAAAACUGGCAGCUUUGCAGUGGGACCUGAUCUUUCUUUCUUGUUGUUCAUGAAGAUAGAAGCCUCUAUGUGGUUGAAAUCUGUUUUGUUGUGUUUGGUUGCGGGUUUUUAUUUUGAGGAGAAGGGAGGUAACUUCAGGUCUUCAAAAGUAAAAAAGAGAUCAAAACCCUGGCAACUGUUCAAGACAAAUGAGAAACCUCCCAAUGAAGGGCUUUCUGUCACCUUGGAGACAUCAUUUAAAAAAGCGAGGUAGAGUAAUUUUAGUUUCAGACUUCCCUUUGUCCUUGUCCCUCCCAUGCAAAUUCUGUUUUUGUACUUACAUAUCCUGUUUAGUUUUGCUUUUUUUCUAUAUAAACAGGGGAAUUUGGCAAAGCUAGGAGAACACUGGAAAUGACCUUGCACAUGAUGUUUCAGAGCAUAAAACCAGUGCUUGGAAACAGACAAAGUUAAACUUGCCCAAUAACAGAUUAAAAAACAAGAUCAAACAUUUUCAGAUCAUACAGAUAAACAUAAAAAGCUUGGAAGUCUUAUUUUAUAUUCUUGGACUUUUAUGUGUUGCUAGGUCUUUAUUCUGCAGAAGAAUAUGGGAUUUAGGCAACAAGGUUUUUGUGAUAAGAAGAGAGGAUGGAGAAAGAUUAAAUAAGGAAUAAUCUAAUAUGCAGUAUGGAUGUAAUCUAGUAACUAUUCACUGCCAGAAUGGGCACUGUUGUUCUGUGCUGUGGAGCUGCAGGGGUUACCAGGUGAGGCUGUGCCAUGGCUGGAGACGGGAGCAAUUAGAGAGGAGAUUAGGAUAAAGUAGUGCUUCUAUCCACUAAAGAAUGUAAAUAUUUUGAAUAUUUUCAAUAGCUCACACUUCUCAAUACCAAACCUCCUCCAAAUGGUACCAUGCAGGCCAGCUACAGGAAGCACGGAAGCCUUUCUGUGUACCUGAAAUUACCUGAGAUACGUAGGCUUUCCGCUCCCACUCAGAAAAUAUUUCAAAACAAAUUGUUUUAAAACUGACAGAUUAGAUUACAUUUAAAUAUCUAUUUUAUUGUCCUGGUAAUGUUCUUGGAAUGUGGGAGGGAGCCAUGCAGGACGGACCGGCAGUCAGCGUGCCGGUGCCCAGUGCCACCUCCUCCUGCAGGACUGCCACAAGCAGUGCAGGGUGGGAAAAGAUCCUGCACAGGGCCGUGCCAUGGGUUGCACUGCACAGCCACAAGCAGAAGUUGCAUACGCCCCUUUCUAUGCAACACAUUUUAGAAGAAUAUCAUGCGAUCAGAUGUAAGCUGUACUGCUGUGCACGUGUGCACUGCUGUCUGAUGGAGACCACCACUUCUUAACCACAUGCUUAACGAGGCUUAUUCAGUACAGAUUCAAUAUACUAUGUAGUUACUGUGUGAUUUUUAGAUAAUUCCUACACACCACCUUUUCCAUAAAUGCUUUUCAUAGAACAAUCACUGACAUCUUAUCUUCCCCUCCUGGUUGCUGCUUUUGGGAUAACUCUGUGUUUCCUCACAGCCACCCCUCAGUCUGGUGGUGCCUGUUGACGUGUCAUGCUGUAAUGCACACUCCACCUCAAGGAGGAUAAGGUGGCAUUUCAGCUAUGUUCAUGCCAUAGGAUGCCUGCUGCUUUGGAUGAGGGGCAGGGUGGCUGUCAGCACUUCCAGCUCGGGAGCCGUUUUUGAUAGCAGCCAUGGGGAAAGCCAAAGAAGUCAAACGUUGAGGUGAGUUUGGGCCAAGUGUGAUGCCCAUGUCUGCCGAUGACAUCAGUGCCAGGAGGCAAGAGCUUGUGGCCCAUAGCAGGGGCACACUGAGCUGUUGUUAUGGCUCAGGCCUUGCAAGUGUGACCAGUGAAGGGGCGCAGAGCACAGGCAAGAUGCUACACUGGCACCUCCUGUAAGCCAGGACUGACAGAAGAGCUGACCAACACCAGGUUUACGUGUUUAGAAAUAUCUUCUAACAGGAAGAGGCACUUAAAACUAGAUUGGCCUGAACGUGAGCAGACAAGAUUUGUGAUUAAGGCAGCACAGAUUAGUUUAUAAAUGUAUUUUUUCACCUCAAUUUUCUUGGAUUCUGUUGUGUCUACUAAGGGUGAAGCCAAAGAACAAACAUUAUAAGGGACACAAAGAAUUAAAAGAAGCUUGGCCACAGUACCUCCCCAUAAGCUGCUGUGUGACUGCCUUUUGUGUCAUCAUAGUGCUGAAGGAGAGCUGGGAGCGAGCUGUCAGCAGAUGGGCCUGCUGAAGCGAAUCACGUUCUGCACUGUGUGCUCUGCAGCUCCUGAACAAAAUGGGCUGAGCUGGAAACAAAAGCUGGGCU